ACAAACUUGGUCAUUUAGAGGAAGUAAAAGUCGUAACAAGGUUUCCGUAGGUGAACCUGCGGAAGGAUCAUUAGCAAAAUCAACGAACCUGUCAAACGGGGUGGUGAGUGUAGGGGGUGAUCCCUCCUGCUCUCGCUCCCCCAGUAUCACUGUACAUUGUAGGCGUCAGGGGGGCGGUGGUGGCAGCGGUGGUGGUGGUGAUGGUUUAUUGCCAUUUGCCACCCAUCCAUCCAUCCAUCCCCUGCCCUCUGCCCCCUGACAGCCACCUUUAACCCCAAACACUUUUAACAAUGGAUCUCUGGGCUCUUGCAUCGAUGAAGAACGCAGC
rnacentral:misc_RNA from 1 species